UACGUAGGGUGCAAGCGUUGUCCGGAAUUAUUGGGCGUAAAGAGCUCGUAGGCGGUUUGUUGCGUCGGCUGUGAAAUCCCGAGGCUCAACCUCGGGUCUGCAGUCGAUACGAGCAAACUAGAGUGUUGCAGGGGAGACUGGAAUUCCUGGUGUAGCGGUGAAAUGCGCAGAUAUCAGGAGGAACACCGGUGGCGAAGGCGGGUCUCUGGGCAACAACUGACGCUGAGGAGCGAAAGCGUGGGGAGCGAACUGG
rnacentral:rRNA from 1 species